rnacentral:rRNA from 1 species
GACGAACGCUGGCGGCGUGCUUAACACAUGCAAGUCGAACGGAAAGGCCCUGCUUUUGUGGUGUGCCCGAGUGGCGAACGGGGGAGUAACACGUGAGUAACCUGCCCUUGACUUUGGGAUAACUUCAGGAAACUGGGGCUAAUACCGGAUAGGAGCUCCUGCUGCAUGGUGGGCGUUGGAAAGUCUCGGCGGUCGGGGAUGGACUCGCGGCUUAUCAGCUUGUUGGUGGGGUAGUGGCUUACCAAGGCUUUGACGGGUAGCCGGCCUGGGAGGGUGACCGGCCACAAUGGGCCUGAGAUACGGCCCAGACUCCUACGGGAGGCAGCAGUGGGGAAUAUUGCACAAUGGGCGGAAGCCUGAUGCAGCAACGCCGCGUGCGGGAUGACGGCCUUCGGGUUGUAAACCGCUUUCGCCUGUGACGAAGCGUGAGUGACGGUAAUGGGUAAAGAAGCACCGGCUAACUACGUG